UUGGAAGCUGGUAACUUGGUAACAGACUGUGCCCCAGUUCAAGGAGUAAUUUAUAUGACUUCCAGUUUUCAACAGCUUUAAUGAAUCAAACUCAACCCCUUGCACUUGCCAGCAGGCACAUCUGCCACUGAGCUACCUCCCCAGCCUGGUAUAUGGUGUUAAAAAAUUACAGGAGAGUCUGGACCCAAGAGGAAUGGAGGAGACAUGGAAAGAAUGUCACCGUCAGUCUUGUUCCUCCUCAAGGGGACAGAGCAGAGGUAAAGAUAUUCCCAGCCUCCACGCCCACACUACCACCAAAGAGGCCACAUUUCACCUGCAGUCAGAUUGCCUAACCGUUGAGGAACUCAUCUUACAACUUGAAUUUUGAUGAAAUUUAAUGUUUAAGAUCUGUUUUAUGUAAUUAAUUUCUUGUUCAGAAGUCUACUCAGUCUCUGACACAGAGUGGCUAUAUUGUAUUGAAUUGAAUGGAUGAAUGCGUGUAACCUAACUAUCACUAUCAAAUCCACACAGAAUUAUUUUAAGUAUGAAAAAAAUCUUUACUGUCAAUUCUAACAUAUGUUAGCUGGGACAAAUCAAUUAAAAAGCAA